UGGGCCUGGUAAAAGUUGCAGGCGAAGCCCACAAGCGAACUGCCCAAGAGUAAAAAGCGAGGCCCAUGAGCAGAACGGCGAAAGCUAAGGCGGUUUUGUUUCGUGUUCGGUUUAGUACCACCUCGGCUGCCGAGGGAGAUGUGCGAGAGGGGCGAGGGUAUAAAGAGGGGAGGUGGGGGAACGGGAUAAGCAUCUUUGCGCUUGGGGCAAUGACGCAGCUAGUGAGGAUAUAGCAAUAGAGUCGGGUAGUUGUUUAUCUGCACGGUGGAAUGGACAAUUGUAAGGAAAAUUGUAUACCUUUGUGAUACUGCAUUGAUGAUUAGCUCGCCUGAUGUUGCAUAAAGUAAUGGGAUAUACUUCCAGUAAUCAAGCAAAUUAACUAUUAAAAAUUUUCUCUCGUGAUCUCUAUUAUUUAAUACUGGUAACAUCUUAGUUACUGAGUGUUCAAUAAUAUCAAUCCAACAUUUAAUCUAUUCUACCCAAAAGUGCAGUCACAAAUGCCAUCAAGCUCACCAGAACCUUAUCUGAUCUUCAACAUAUUGCUGCUAUAAUGAAAUCAUGUGUUCUAGCUUGUCCAGCAUGGCAACAUUUGCAGGAACAAAUGAACUUCAUACCAUGCAAGGUGAUGUGGUAUUGGCUCAGCAACGAACACGGCAACAAUUCACACCUUUGUUUUGAAUUCUCUGGCAACCUCUUGGAUCAUAGAUUCAAGAUCUUCAAAAUCAUAAGCCUCUGCAAAGGUGAAGAUCUACAACAAAUUUACAAGACCAUCCAAUUAUCAGUAUAACAAACAUCAAGAAUUAAUUUUAUUUGAACUACAUAGCUUGUUGCUUUGAUCCUCUCUAGUAACAUAUGGCAUAUAUCCAGUUUGACUUAUUCAUACAAUAAGAAAAGCAGAAGUGCCAACCUGCAGCUUAAUAGGGCUUCCAUAAACUUUACCAGAGUUGAGAUCAGUGAAUACAGUAAUUAGUGGGAACUUGUUAAGCUCCACAAACUGUAUUAUUGCUUUU